UGGACCGAGUGGUGAUUGUUGUGGACCUCCUCUCUGGGAGUGAGAUGAGGGGAAUCACGUCCAGGUCUUUACCCAUUUAACAACUAACCAUUUACACCUCCCUACUCUGGCCUCUCCAUGAUCAGUAGGACUCCAUCGUCCAGGUUGGUCCAUGCUAAUGGUGACUAGUGGGACACAGUGGAUCUCACCGUUUAUCGCCUGAAGAGAGGAACACGACAUGCUCGUCUGUGGUUUACUGCUGGUCGUCAAUCAAAAACACAAAUGAUCCUGCUGUGCCCCCACCCAAAAGGCCCCGAACUCCUCCUGUGACAGAGAUCUGCUUUCACCUUUGGAUUAUAACCAGACCAUGGGUCCAAUUUUGAAAAAAACCUCCUGUGGUAAUCUAGCAUCAACUGAUGGACACGGGGUAAAUAGAGCGUGUGAAAUGGAGACAGUGAUAAAUAUUUCAGAGAGGCUUUCACUGCUCCUCUCCUGUGCUCGAUGGCGCGUUGAGCGCGCAGCCGCGUUAUAUCCUGGGCUUGAUUACAGGUUGGUGCUCGUAAAGAACACAUGGAACAGGAAGGAGCCCACGAAGACAUGCUGGAUAUGUGGGUUUAGUCUCUGGAACCA
rnacentral:lncRNA from 1 species